AGCUCCAAUAGCGUAUAUUAAAGUUGUUGCGGUUAAAAAGCUCGUAGUUGGAUCUCAGUUCAUGCUAUGUGGUCCACUUGCCGGUGGCUACUACUUAGCUGAACAUUUUACAGACCUGUCUUGUGAUGCUCUUCACCGGGUGUCAUGAGCGAUCUGUACGUUUACUUUGAACAAAUUAGAGUGCUUAAAGCAGGCGUAACGCCUGGAUAAUCUUGCAUGGAAUAAUGGAAUAGGACCUCGGUUCUAUUUUGUUGGUCUUCGGAUCCUGAGGUAAUGAUUAAGAGGGACAGACGGGGGCAUUCGUAUUGCGGCGCUAGAGGUGAAAUUCUUGGACCGUCGCAAGACGAACUACAGCGAAAGCAUUUGCCAAGAAUGUUUUCAU
rnacentral:rRNA from 1 species